AUAAUCGACCUUUAACUGGUCAAUUUAAUAAAUAAAUAAAUAAAUAACUGAAAACACAGAAACUGAAGCAGCUCCUCCCUCAUGAAUCAGUAUGAAAUGUUAGCUUUUAUCGGCACAAAUGCUCGGCAAGCAGUAGUACACAGUUUCAUCUCAAACCAUGAAAACACAAUUAUAUUCCAAGUUUGAUUAUCUUAUUAAUUCGUAAGACUACCUAUGUCAAAUCGAACACAUUGAAUCCAAUCUCGAGCUUGCUAGUUCGUCUCAAUUUUAUUCCCACUCAAAAACUUAUCCUUUAGUUUUAACCACAAAUUAUUAAAAAAAUUCAAUAGCAAUUUAAAAGUUCUCAUUAAAAGAUUUAUACCGAAGACGAAGGGAAAAAGAGAUUAAAGGAGCAUACCUGAAAGGAUGAAAUUAAGUGAGAGGGUAAUUUCUUGAAUCUAGAAUGAAG
rnacentral:lncRNA from 1 species